ensembl:misc_RNA Metazoa_SRP Metazoan signal recognition particle RNA
GCUAGGCACGGUGGCGCGUGCCUAUAGCCCCAGCUACUCCAGAGGCUGAGGCUGGAGGAUUGCUUGAGCCCAGGAGUUCUGGGCUGUAAUGUGCUAUGUCAAUUGGGUGUCUGCACUAAGUUCAGCAUCAAUAUGGUGACCUCCCAGGAGCGGGGGACCACCAGGUUGCCUAAGGAGGGGUGAACCGGCCCAGGUCAGAAACAGAGCAGGUCAAAACUCCCAUGCUGAUCAAUAGUGGGAUCGCACCUGUGAAUAGCCACUGUACUCCAGCCUGGGCAACAUAGCGAGACCUCGGCUCUA